UACGUAGGGUGCGAGCGUUAAUCGGAAUUACUGGGCGUAAAGCGUGCGCAGGCGGUUUUUUACGCCAGAUGUGAAAGCCCCGGGCUUAACCUGGGAAUGGCAUUUGGGACUGCAAGGCUUGAGUGCGGCAGAGGAGACUGGAAUUCCCGGUGUAGCAGUGAAAUGCGUAGAUAUCGGGAGGAAUACCGAUGGCGAAGGCAGGUCUCUGGGCUGACACUGACGCUCAUGCACGAAAGCGUGGGGAGCAAACAGG
rnacentral:rRNA from 1 species